AGGACAUUUUGCCCAGAUCCGUGGCCUAUUCAGAAAUGUGGCCUGUGAUUAGGCCGCAGAUCUGGGUGAAAUGUCCUCC
ensembl:miRNA MIR1295A microRNA 1295a